UACGAAGGGGGCGAGCGUUGUUCGGAUUUACUGGGCGUAAAGGGCGCGUAGGCGGCCCUCCUUGUCGCGUGUGAAAGCCCCGGGCUCAACCUGGGAAUGGCGCGCGAAACGGGCGGGCUUGAGUUCGGGAGAGGAGCGUGGAAUUCCCAGUGUAGAGGUGAAAUUCGUAGAUAUUGGGAAGAACACCGGUGGCGAAGGCGGCGCUCUGGACCGAGACUGACGCUGAGGCGCGAAAAGCGUGGGGAGCAAACAGG
rnacentral:rRNA from 1 species